GAUACUGCUAUCCUGAGUCGACUAAGACAUGCGAGUCGAGAGUCUUCGGGACUCGGCGAACUGCUCAGUAAUAUGUAGUUAACUUACCCUGCACUCAGGGAUAAUUGCGGGAAACUGCAGCUAAUACCUGAUGGGUAUUCUGUUCUGGAAUGAUAGAAUAUCGAAAGGUAACGGUACAGGAUAGGACUACAUCUUAUCAGCCUGUUGGGGGUGUAAUGGACCCCCAAAGCUAUAACGGGUACGGGCCAUGAGAGUGGAAGCCCGGAGAUGGAUUCUGAGACAUAAAUCCAGGUCCUACGGGACGCAGCAGUUACGAAAACUUCGCAAUGCUCAAACGAGUGACGAGGGAACUCGGAGUGUUCAUGCUCUGCAUNGAACUUUUGGUCUUACUUGGCAA
rnacentral:rRNA from 1 species